UACAGAGGGUGCAAGCGUUAAUCGGAAUUACUGGGCGUAAAGCGUGCGUAGACGGUUAUGUAAGUCAGGUGUGAAAGCCCCGGGCUCAACCUGGGAAUUGCAUUUGAGACUGCAUAGCUAGGGUGCGGAAGAAGGAAGCGGAAUUUCCGGUGUAGCGGUGAAAUGCGUAGAUAUCGGAAGGAACAUCAGUGGCGAAAGCGGCUUCCUGGUCCAGCACCGACGUUCAGGCACAAAAGCGUGGGGAGCAAACAGG
rnacentral:rRNA from 1 species